UCUGAUAAGUUCUAGUAAGGUAAUAUAGUGCAUAUUGAUAGGCAAGGAAGUCCAGGGGCAGGGAGGGAGGGCAGGGAGGGGACACGCCGCCGCGGCGGGGUGUGGCCCUCGGGGGCGGGAGGAGGAUGUCGGAGCGAGGAGGAGGCGAGGGGAGGCGGCGGCAGCGGGCCACGCAGUGUCCCGUUUCGGGAACACCGCACCGCCGCCGCCGCCAAAGAGGAGCUUAGAGCUAGACCAACCCUCCGCCGCGAGGAGAGGCCGGUCUAACCGCCGCCACCGCGUCUAACCGCCGCUGUACCUUCACCACGCCGCCGCCGCCCCCUCCUGCCGUGGUCGUUGCCACCUAAACCGGAACUGAGUACAGCCCGAUUAUGCAACACGAUGGUUAGAGCUAGCGGCAUCCGCCCCGUGACGAGGACCUGAACUAGACGUUGUACUCCUACAGACCCCGCGGCCGGGAUCCGAACCACCACCACCGGAAGACGAAGCAGUCUCAACCAGCCGGCUGACCGACACGAGUGUACCAGUACGUAACUGGUCGCCCAACCGGCCAGCCGCCGCCGCCUUGAACCGGCCACCGUCGCCGUUUCAAGACAGACCUAGGGCGCCGCCGUACCACUCCGGCCACUUCGAGCCCGAAGGGCGCCGCCGUACCGCACCACGUCAGGGAUAGGUUCCGCCUAGACACUGCCGCUAGACGAUACCUGAUCAAGCCUAGUCUCUGCCACUACUCGUGCGCCCUAGGAAGAGCCGCCGAGAGCGCCGAACCGCUCCGCCCCAGCCUCGGGAGGAGGAUCCGAUUUCACCACCGUGUGAGUUCGUCUCCGGCCACGCGGUCCCUAGGGUGCCACCGUGACAACGACGUCAACCAGCGGCCUAGAUCCGCCGACCUAGACCUCGAAACUUCCACCAGCUCUGCCACGUAUCCAACAACCCACCUAAAGAACCCUGCCUAGGCCCACUUUUGGACUAGAAGCCAGUUACCGGCCUACGGGAGUAUUAGCAAAGGAAGUACUUCCGUGGUAGCUCGUAAGAACCUCCACGUGAGCCGAAGCGCCCUGGUUGCCUGCCGAAGAAACCACCUCGCCACGAAGUAGGUAUGUAACUACCGCUGCCUAGACCUGACGAACCGCGUCACGUCUAAGCUUCAAGCUACACCCUCCUACCUGAGCGCGUCCUUCUGCUGUGACAGACCGCAGCACCACCGCAGCUACCGACUCUCUGGACCGUGCCAUCUACGUUAUCAUGUCGAGACUUCUACCUGAGCACCGUCCACCGACGCUGCCGGGGUAUGGGCCGUCCGCAGGACCAACUCCUCACGCGGCUUGACCAUCCACGGGGUAUGGUCCGUCCGCAGGACCAACCCUGAAGUCCAGAAUUUACAAAUCCAAACCGACGCUACAGACAAACCAUAAUCCGGGACUGAUAAUCACGGGGAAGUAGUUAACCUAUCCACGUCGCUGUCAACAACGAAUCUGCCACCGAAGUCAGAAUCACAACAUACUGAAACAUUCCAGAACACUCUUAUUAAUUAUUUCAUCGGCGUACGUAGCGGCUUUACGUCUCCGGCCCCCAGUAGGAGGAAAAGAUUUUUUU
rnacentral:rRNA from 1 species